CUGAAGCAGUGUACUGCGUCUUCCGGUUAUUGCGUUCGAAAUGGCUGCCUGUAAUUGCUGGACAACUUCGCUCUCGCAUCUCCCAAAAGUUGGCCAAGACGAUGUGGUGCGACUCGUGAAUGAACACUCAAAGGUAAAAUCAUCCAAGUUGGAGAAAGGAUACAAGUUCUUCUACGAGAAUUUUGUCUUCAAUUAUAGAGAUUGUGCUGCAUGCCGUUAGACCUGUGGAGUUAAAUGGAUGCUCCUGCUCGUGUGCUGCUGGAAUGGCUUUAUGCAACCAUGUGGUUGCACUCCUGUUUCAAACGGCUCACUACAGCACCAUGGGGCUGAAAACUGUGCCAACCCCACUGUCCUGCACCGGUGUGCUUCAAUCAUGGCACCGUCCAAGGACACAGGGGAUUCGUCCCGAACCCACGGAUUAACUCGUGGUACGAAAGCCAAAG